AGAAGGUUCAGGAGACUCCAUGGAGCCUCAAACCCUAGAUCGACUUUAAGCUCAAAUUGGAAGGAAAGAUGAGGCUGAAAUCCAUAACCGAGCAUGAAUUAAUGAUCACCAACACGAGGGGAUCAUAAGCAUUUAGUCAAGGAGACGUAAGCUCGGAAGGCACAAGGGUUAAAAAGGACACAAGGAAGCGAUCGCGAAUGCGGACGCAAAAAGGUGGUACGAGUCACAGAUUUUCAUUCCAAGGAGUAACGAUCAAAGACCGAGUCACAAGUCGGAUUGUACGGGAAUACUUGAUUAUGUAAAAUGAUAGUUUUAAGUU